rnacentral:rRNA from 1 species
UACAGAGGUCCCGAGCGUUGUUCGGAAUUACUGGGCGUAAAGGGUGCGUAGGUGGCGUCGUAAGUCAGGUGUGAAAUCUCGGGGCUCAACCCCGAAACUGCACUUGAUACUGCGAUGCUCGAGUACUGGAGAGGAGAUUGGAAUUUACGGUGUAGCAGUGAAAUGCGUAGAUAUCGUAAGGAAGACCAGUGGCGAAGGCGAAUCUCUGGACAGUUACUGACACUGAGGCACGAAGGCCAGGGGAGCAAACGGG